GAUCAUAUCUUUCAAACCACAAGUAAUUUCUUAAUGAAACUUUUUUUGUUUGAAAGUAGACUCAAGUUUAUGAGUCAUAGUCCAAUUUCAGCUAGAAAUAAAAUCAUAUAAUUGGUAGUAAAAGUCACGGAACUCAAUGGACAUUUCUUGGAUUUUGUAGGGUCAGAACUGAUACCCUUCAUUGUUGAGUCCAGAACACUCAAUUCUCAUAGGAUCUCCCACUCAAAUUUUGCAAGUAGAUCCUACUCUUAAAGACAUAAAAUAUCACUGAAGUAUGCAAUAGAAAAAUACAUCAUUAUAUUUUUCAUAGCACUACUCCAAAAUACCCAAGAAUACUCAUUAUGCAGAGUGAUUUUUCGGUUUAGAAUAUUACAAUAAUUCUUAACCAUGUGUGUAUUUCUUGACCACAAAUGUUAUUAGCU
rnacentral:lncRNA from 1 species